CACGUAAGUUGCGAGCGUUGUUCGGAAUUAUUGGGCGUAAAGGGCAUGUAGGCGGCAGUGCAAGUCUGGUGUGAAAUGCCGGGGCUCAACCCCGGAACUGCGUUGGAAACUGCACUGCUUGAGUCACUGAGGGGCAUCCAGAAUUCCAGGUGUAGGGGUGAAAUCUGUAGAUAUCUGGAAGAAUACCAAUGGCGAAGGCAGGGUGCCAGCAGAUGACUGACGCUGAGGUGCGAAGGUGCGGGGAG
rnacentral:rRNA from 1 species